ensembl:lncRNA
ACCAAUCAAAUGAGAUUUUCAGUAAAAACAAUCCAAAGCGAUGACGAUGAUAUUCAUAAAUAAACCCUUUUUGCAACAUUCGCACACUUUUAUCCACUUUAUCUCUUAAAGGAACUCAUGCAGUAGCUGUAAGUAUAAUCAUGCGUAUCUGUGAACGGAAAAAAACAACAAUAUUUCAGAUCUAACAAGCAAAUAUAUUCCUGUUAAAUAUUAUAUAUUUAUAUAUUUAUCCUCAACAGCUCUUUAUAAUGUACAAUAUAUACACAUUAAUGCAUUAUAUUAACACACGCAGUGCUGAAGUAUAACACACACGAGAAUAUGUAUUAAAUUCAUAUGCAUAACAAACUGCAACACAAUUUUAAGCUAAACGAGUCUACUCUGUGUUUGUGUGUGUGUGUAAGAGAGAGAGAGACUGCAUUAAAGACUUCAAGGCACUGCACAAUCAAAAAUAAUCAUAAAAAUAAAACGUAUGAUGAUGUGUGUUUUCUGGGCUGCUUGAACAGACAUAAAAAGAAUCUAUACACUGAUAUCUUAAAUAAAAACUGCAAAUACAUUUCUAAAAGGUUAGAACAUCGUUAUGAGAAAAGAGCGAGGUCAGUAAAAUGUAUUUCAGCUGAAUCAGUUUGUAGUUUUAGAUUUCCACUCGUUCUUAAUUGUUUAAUGAUUUCGCUGAUUAAUAUAAACACAGCGUGAAUGUUUCCCGAGUGUGUGGAGAGGUUGAGGUGCGAGUUAAAGCCGUGGACACACACUCAGCAGAAACCAGGAGGAGGUCUGAGGUGAAGAAGCGAUACUGGUCCAGUCAGCGUGAAGGUUCUGUUAUUCGGUUCAGAAGAUGUUUACAGUUGAAGGUGGACUUGUUUAGAGGAGUCGCUCUGAAUCUUCAGUAGUUUAUCACAAAGUAGAAUCUCUCAUCUUUAAAUUUUAUUUAAAUACCUUACUACAGAUUUUUAUUAAAAAUAGAACUUUGUCAUUGUAUAUACUUUUAUAUUAAGGAUGUCUAUAUUUCAGAUUGAUGACGAUAUAAUCACAACGUUCUCUCGUCCCAGCCCUAAACCCCAGGUUACAGGUGUUACAGCUCACUUCCAUCUCCGCUCGUGUUACAUCACUCCAGUGAUGUUUAAGACGUUAUAUUUCACCCUGUAUGAAGUUUACAUACCACUAUGUGUGCGUUUGGAGAAAAUUUAUGAGCAGGAACACGCCACGGUAGCACGGGCACCAAAGCCAAGCUCAUUUCCUGUUUUUCCCUGUUGGAGCUAGCAUGCUAACUCGCUAGCAAACAUUAGAUGCGAGUAGUUUUGAAAUUUGAAGCUUCUGUUUAUGAGGAUUUGGCUACCGUUUUGGAGGGGAAAAAAAGCAGUUAUAGGUUGCAGCAACGUCUUCUGGGUAAACUGUUGAGUCGAUUCUCAUCUAACGCACAUCAUUCAAGCUGCCAUAGCGAUGUAAAGAGUCCAGAGGGACACGAGCGAGGGGAAGUGGACACGAGCGAGGGGAAAGAGGAGAAGAGCGAGGGGAAGAAGACACGAGUGAGGGGAAGUGGAUCAGGGGAAGUGGAGAAGAGCGAGGGGAAGAGGAGACGAGCGAGGGAAAGUGGAUGAUGGGACGAGGUCUAAGACUGAAAAUCAGUGGAGUGGGAAAAUCUUCACUCACUGAGAAGGUAAACAACAUUGUCAUUUAAAACGUGCUGAAACACCUCAAAGCAGAAAUAAAUUUAUAUCCAAG